AGAGUUGAUCCUGGCUCAGGAUGACGCUAGCGGCAGGCUACACAUGCAAGUCGAGGGGCAGCACAGGGAGCAAUCCUGGGCGACGACCGGCGCACGGGUGCGUAACGCGUAUGCAACCUACCUGUAACAGGGGUAUAACGGAGAGAAAUUUCCACUAAUCCCCCCAUAUUGUUAGAGAUUCGCAUGUUUCUCUAACGAAAGCUUCGGUGGUUACGGAUGGGCAUGCGUGACAUUAGCUAGUUGGUAAGGUAACGGCUUACCAAGGCGACGAUGUCUAGGGGAGCUGAGAGGCUUAUCCCCCACACUGGUACUGAGACACGGACCAGACUCCUACGGGAGGCAGCAGUGAGGAAUAUUGGUCAAUGGACGGAAGUCUGAACCAGCCAUGCCGCGUGGAGGAAGAAGGUCCUAUGGGUUGUAAACCUCUUUUGUCGGGGAGCAACGAGGCCACGUGUGGCCGCAGAGAGAGUACCCGAAGAAAAAGCAUCGGCUAACUCCGUGCCAGCAGCCGCGGUAAUACGGAGGAUGCGAGCGUUAUCCGGAUUUAUUGGGUUUAAAGGGUGCGCAGGCGGCGCGGUAAGUCAGCGGUAAAAGCCCGGGGCUCAACCCCGGCGAGCCGUUGAUACUGCCGUGCUAGAGUAAGGUCGAGGUAUGCGGAAUGCGCGGUGUAGCGGUGAAAUGCAUAGAUAUCGCGCAGAACUCCGAUUGCGAAGGCAGCAUACCGGUCCUUUACUGACGCUCAGGCACGAAAGCSUGGGGAUCAAACAGGCUUAGAUACCCUGGUAGUCCACGCAGUAAA
rnacentral:rRNA from 1 species